AACCCAUGGUCUGGGCAUUGGUUGGUGUGCUCUCUCAUAUGCUUCACCAAAACUCUCAUUGCUAUGCUGAGUGAAGCUAGAGAUUUGGUUCCUCAGUUU
rnacentral:snoRNA from 1 species